GCGCCCCGCAAGGGGAGUGGCAGACGGGUGAGUAACGCGUGGGAACAUACCCCUCGGUUCGGAAUAGCUCAGGGAAACUUGAAUUAAUACCGAAUACGGUCGAGAGGCGAAAGAUUUAUCGCCGAGGGAUUGGCCCGCGUCCGAUUAGCUAGUUGGUGAGGUAAUGGCCCACCAAGGCGACGAUCGGUAGCUGGUCUGAGAGGAUGAUCAGCCACAUUGGGACUGAGACACGGCCCAAACUCCUACGGGAGGCAGCAGUGGGGAAUAUUGGACAAUGGGCGCAAGCCUGAUCCAGCCAUGCCGCGUGAGUGAUGACGGCCUUAGGGUUGUAAAGCUCUUUCGUCAGGGACGAUAAUGACGGUACCUGAAGAAGAAGCCCCGGCUAACUUCGUGCCAGCAGCCGCGGUAAUACGAAGGGGGCUAGCGUUGUUCGGAAUUACUGGGCGUAAAGCGCGUGUAGGCGGGUCUUUAAGUCAGGGGUGAAAUGCCAGGGCUCAACCUUGGAACUGCCUUUGAUACUGGAGAUCUUGAGUCCGGGAGAGGUGAGUGGAACUGCGAGUGUAGAGGUGAAAUUCGUAGAUAUUCGCAAGAA
rnacentral:rRNA from 1 species